rnacentral:rRNA from 1 species
GAUGAACGCUGGCGGCGUGCCUAAUACAUGCAAGUCGAGCGAACAGACGAGGAGCUUGCUCCUCUGACGUUAGCGGCGGACGGGUGAGUAACACGUGGAUAACCUACCUAUAAGACUGGGAUAACUUCGGGAAACCGGAGCUAAUACCGGAUAAUGUAUCGAACCGCAUGGUUCAAUAGUGAAAGACGGUUUUGCUGUCACUUAUAGAUGGAUCCGCGCCGCAUUAGCUAGUUGGUAAGGUAACGGCUUACCAAGGCAACGAUGCGUAGCCGACCUGAGAGGGUGAUCGGCCACACUGGAACUGAGACACGGUCCAGACUCCUACGGGAGGCAGCAGUAGGGAAUCUUCCGCAAUGGGCGAAAGCCUGACGGAGCAACGCCGCGUGAGUGAUGAAGGUCUUCGGAUCGUAAAACUCUGUUAUUAGGGAAGAACAAAUGUGUAAGUAACUAUGCACGUCUUGACGGUACCUAAUCAGAAAGCCACGGCUAACUACGUG